GUAGUGGGGAAGGAAGACUGGGGCAAGGACUCGGGGGUUGGGGGUUGCAGCGGGGGUGGGGUCUCCCAGGCCUCUUUUUGCAGCAAUUAGAAGUCUAUGUCCCCCUUGAGGCGCAGGGACAAUUCCCAUUAAUGUUAAUGAGAUUAAUGCUUAGGAAGUGCAAGAGUAGGGGAGACUCCAGGUCGAAUCCCUGUGGGGAGGGGGCUUCCCUGCCGGCAGAAGAGGGACAGAGUUCUCUCUUCUAGUUGGAACUGCCAGAGCUCCAGGGAGGCAUGGAGUCAGAAAGGACCUCAGCAGAAGGCCUUUAUCAGCACCUCCAUACUUCACUUGCGUUCCUUUGUUUCUAUGAGACCGUGAGGCAUAAUGUUCCCUGCAAUAUAAUGCACAUGGAGGUGUCAAAGAGAGGAGAAGUGAAAAGGAGCAAUUUUGGUGUUAUUGUAGAGGGUGGACCACAGCAAUCAUGUCGGUUUGUGGAAUGCUUAGUAAAUGCCAGACACGAACGAAGCAAGUUAUACAGAUGAUUGUAAGGAAUCCCCACAGAUCCUUUGGAGUUCAUUGUUACUACCCUGAUUUUGGAGAUGAAGAAAAGGAGGCUCAAAGAGAUUGAGAUGGAGGCUCAGAGAUCUCACAGAAAGAGGCAGCCAAUAUUUCUCCAAAGCCCUCAUUUUG
ensembl:lncRNA